UCAUAUGAUGCGGUAAUUUGCGAUUGACCCGGUGUCUGUGAAGCUCUCGCCGGAGUUUCGAUACAGCACUGAAGUAUGAUAUUUAAUCUUCUUACAUAUUCUGAUA
rnacentral:snoRNA from 1 species